rnacentral:rRNA from 1 species
UGCUGGAGGUAUCAGAAGUGCGAAUGCUGACAUAAGUAACGAUAAAGCGGGUGAAAAGCCCGCUCGCCGGAAGACCAAGGGUUCCUGUCCAACGUUAAUCGGGGCAGGGUGAGUCGACCCCUAAGGCGAGGCCGAAAGGCGUAGUCGAUGGGAAACGGGUUAAUAUUCCCGUACUUGGUGUUACUGCGAAGGGGGGACGGAGAAGGCUAUGUUGGCCGGGCGACGGUUGUCCCGGUUUAAGCGUGUAGGUGUGUGUUCCAGGUAAAUCCGGUUCACUUUAACACUGAGGCGUGACGACGAGGCACUACGGUGCUGAAGCAACAAAUGCCCUGCUUCCAGGAAAAGCCUCUAAGCAUCAGGUAACAUCAAAUCGUACCCCAAACCGACACAGGUGGUCAGGUAGAGAAUACCAAGGCGCUUGAGAGAACUCGGGUGAAGGAACUAGGCAAAAUGGUGCCGUAACUUCGGGAGAAGGCACGCUGACACGUAGGUGAAGUGAUUUACUCAUGGAGCUGAAGUCAGUCGAAGAUACCAGCUGGCUGCAACUGUUUAUUAAAAACACAGCACUGUGCAAACACGAAAGUGGACGUAUACGGUGUGACGCCUGCCCGGUGCCGGAAGGUUAAUUGAUGGGGUCAGCGCAAGCGAAGCUCCUGAUCGAAGCCCCGGUAAACGGCGGCCGUAACUAUAACGGUCCUAAGGUAGCGAAAUUCCUUGUCGGGUAAGUUCCGACCUGCACGAAUGGCGUAAUGAUGGCCAGGCUGUCUCCACCCGAGACUCAGUGAAAUUGAACUCGCUGUGAAGAUGCAGUGUACCCGCGGCAAGACGGAAAGACCCCGUGAACCUUUACUAUAGCUUGACACUGAACAUUGAGCCUUGAUGUGUAGGAUAGGUGGGAGGCUUUGAAGUGUGGACGCCAGUCUGCAUGGAGCCGACCUUGAAAUACCACCCUUUAAUGUUUGAUGUUCUAACGUGGACCCGUAAUCCGGGUUGCGGACAGUGUCUGGUGGGUAGUUUGACUGGGGCGGUCUCCUCCUAAAGAGUAACGGAGGAGCACGAAGGUUGGCUAAUCCUGGUCGGACAUCAGGAGGUUAGUGCAAUGGCAUAAGCCAGCUUGACUGCGAGCGUGACGGCGCGAGCAGGUGCGAAAGCAGGUCAUAGUGAUCCGGUGGUUCUGAAUGGAAGGGCCAUCGCUCAACGGAUAAAAGGUACUCCGGGGAUAACAGGCUGAUACCGCCCAAGAGUUCAUAUCGACGGCGGUGUUUGGCACCUCGAUGUCGGCUCAUCACAUCCUGGGGCUGAAGUAGGUCCCAAGGGUAUGGCUGUUCGCCAUUUAAAGUGGUACGCGAGCUGGGUUUAGAACGUCGUGAGACAGUUCGGUCCCUAUCUGCCGUGGGCGCUGGAGAACUGAGGGGGGCUGCUCCUAGUACGAGAGGACCGGAGUGGACGCAUCACUGGUGUUCGGGUUGUCAUGCCAAUGGCACUGCCCGGUAGCUAAAUGCGGAAGAGAUAAGUGCUGAAAGCAUCUAAGCACGAAACUUGCCCCGAGAUGAGUUCUCCCUGAGACUUAGAGUCUCCUGAAGGAACGUUGAAGACGACGACGUUGAUAGGCCGGGUGUGUAAGCGCAGCGAUGCGUUGAGCUAACCGGUAC